CUUAGGAGAAAUACUUCAUUUGUAUUCUAAGAUUGCACGUUGCCUUAUUUACGUUUGUUGAGAAAUGAGAGCUAUCUGCUUGGGAUCAGCCAAGAAGUACGGUGGAGAGGGCUUAGGUUCUGAAGGAGACUUGGACUUCAAUGCAGUGUCAGCCUCUGGCUGGCUCCAUGAUCUCCUGGGAGAGGCACUUCAGAUCUGGGUGCUUUCCUUUCCUCCUCUGUGAAACAUCACAGAUUGCUGCUAAGGUUUUAAGGACCAUCCCUGUCUCACCUCCAUGGACUGUCUACAAUAUGCAUGGUCAAAAAGUAGACCCGUUCUGCAACCGGACAGCAGAGAAAUGUGUCUGUGAUACCCACACAGUCAAGAGGCACACUUAAAAUAGCAUCAGACCCUAAAAAAAGAUAGGAAAUGACCACAGACCAGUGGGCCAGACAGCACAUGUAUCCUCUGUCCAGGACCCAUGGCCACUGUUGGCAGGCCUACCACUGAGGCAAAUCCUACUAGGAGGUGGAAGUCAUGAAAAGAGUUUUUCCACAUUCCUUUCUGUGAUCUACAGUAAAAACCUCAGGGAGAUAUUGAAUCAUCUGCUGUUUUUUACAACCCCAAUUAAACAAAAUUUUCUGCACCUCCUUCUCCUUCCGCAUUCUUCCCCCCACCCAGUUUCCUUCUUCCCCCUUUUCGUCAAUGGAGUGGUGUGGAGGAGGGUAACUGAAGCUAGGUUGGGGAUUUGUUCCCAG
rnacentral:lncRNA from 1 species